GGCUGGUUGAGAGGGGAACUGGAGCUGGUUGGCUGCUUUGUGAAGAAGAAAGAGUCAGUGCUCGGAGGAGCUGUCCAUGAGAAACACCAAGAAGGAAUCCUGAGACUGUUUUGUAACUCCUCCUUUUGACUUUGUCUCCCUGGUCACUUCCACUGCUGAUUCAACAAGACAUGCCAGAAAUCUUUAGCUGAAAGAAACAUUUCUGCAAUCAUGGACAGAAUGAAGCAUUUACAAGUAGAUGGGUGUGACUCCUCGCAGUCCCCCAGCAGAGGUACCUUGGAGGCAGCACUAUAAACUUCCCACUGCGUCCAUGUCCUAUGGAUUGUUCCAGAGCCAGGCUGCAGCUCCCAGGCACCACUGUGUGCCCUCCCUGCCUUCCCUUGCCAACGUGGGCAGAGACACAUCAUCAUUAGGGACCAAAGUUUGACACCAACUCCCUGCAUGCCAUCUGCAGCCCUCUGAGCAGCCUUGAUGUCACAGAUCGUACACGAAAGCCAGAUCUGAACCUUUGCUCAGGGCCAUCGGGUGCUCUGAUUUCUCUUCUCCUGGGCACAGACCCCGCCUGAAGCUGCUCAGGGGGCUCAGGGAACAACGCUGCCGCUCGGGACAGCCCGGCAGAGGAUACAGCAGCCCCAGCUGGAUGGGAGAAGGAUGCUGAAUUAGAAGGGUGGGAUAAGCAUCUCCUGUCAGUGUUUGCUCAGGGCUCUGCCUGCUGUGCCCAGCUCCCUGUUUUGGAGCACACAGCUCCAGAGCACGCACCGAAUUAAAAAGCACAGCAGGAGGCUCACCAGACAGGGAGGAACCAGAGCCCUCAACUGUGCUGACACAUUUUGCAGUCCUCCUUGGUUAUUACUGAGCCAAUCCCUCUAUGCACACUUUGGAUUUUUCAUCACUACACGAGUGACAAUUGCUGUCAGAAUUACACUAAAACACACACUCCCAGCGUGCAGAAUUGUAUAUUGAAUCCAAACCACAGCACACCCGUAGCACAUUUACAGAUUACACAAAGGGUCUCCUAGGAAAGAAUCUUCACUGGCCUUUUGCAGCCUCAUUAAAAAAUCACUGCAUUUGCCAGUGCUUACAACUAGUGAUAAUAGCCUGCUGUUCUCUGACACCGAUAUUCAGGAAAAGCUGAAUGUUAGCUUUGGACAAAAACGUGUUUGUUUUUUUGGUUUUUCUUCUUUAGUAAGCACAAUCACUUCUGCUGACUCCUGCCAGAUCUCAGAUAGGCAGUCUGCCAC